rnacentral:rRNA from 1 species
AUUGAACGCUGGCGGCAUGCUUUACACAUGCAAGUCGAACGGCAGCGCGGGGCAACCUGGCGGCGAGUGGCGAACGGGUGAGUAAUACAUCGGAACGUACCCAGAAGUGGGGGAUAACGUAGCGAAAGUUACGCUAAUACCGCAUACGUUCUACGGAAGAAAGUGGGGGACCUUCGGGCCUCAUGCUUUUGGAGCGGCCGAUGUCUGAUUAGCUAGUUGGUGAGGUAAAGGCUCACCAAGGCGACGAUCAGUAGCUGGUCUGAGAGGACGACCAGCCACACUGGGACUGAGACACGGCCCAGACUCCUACGGGAGGCAGCAGUGGGGAAUUUUGGACAGUGGGCGCAAGCCUGAUCCAGCAAUGCCGCGUGAGUGAAGAAGGCCUUCGGGUUGUAAAGCUCUUUUGUCAGGGAAGAAACGGCUGAGGUUAAUACCUUCGGCUAAUGACGGUACCUGAAGAAUAAGCACCGGCUAACUACGUGCCAGCCGCCGCGGUAACAC